rnacentral:rRNA from 1 species
GAUGAACGCUGGCGGCGUGCCUAAUACAUGCAAGUCGAGCGAACAGACGAGGAGCUUGCUCCUCUGACGUUAGCGGCGGACGGGUGAGUAACACGUGGAUAACCUACCUAUAAGACUGGGAUAACUUCGGGAAACCGGAGCUAAUACCGGAUAAUAUAUUGAACCGCAUGGUUCAAUAGUGAAAGACGGUUUUGCUGUCACUUAUAGAUGGAUCCGCGCCGCAUUAGCUAGUUGGUAAGGUAACGGCUUACCAAGGCAACGAUGCGUAGCCGACCUGAGAGGGUGAUCGCCCACACUGGAACGGAGACACGGUCCGACUCCCUACGGGGGGCAGCAGUAGGGAAUUUGCCGCAAGGGGCGAAAGCCUGACGGGGCAACGCCGGGGGGGGGAUGAAGGCUUUCGGAUCGUAAAACCCUUUUAUGAGGGAAAAAAAAAGGUGUAAGAAACUAUGCCGGUCUGACGGGUACCUAAUCAGAAACCCCCGGCUAACUAGGG